CUCCAGGGCCGGUGAUGCGGAACGAAGACAAAAGCGCUUACUAACGCACACACGGAACAACCCCCCAGCACCGUACCGUCGGAAUCUUGGAUAAUGCCGAGUCACGAGGUUCCGCCUUCAGGCCACAGGAUGCUGGAUUUGGCGUUUGAGCGCUGGGAUUGGCAACUGGCUGCCGGAAGCCUUCCCGGAGUCUGUAUCACGGAAAGGUUCUUCCUCAGCUGGAGAUCUGCCCUCCAAACUGUACUUGUUAUCAAACCUUCAUCCGCUUUUUCUUGGUUGAAAGUCAGUAAGGUUUGAAGGUCUCCUUCAAAUCUUAUUCAGAGUAAGUUAAAGUGAUGCUUCUUAAACCUUUUCCACUGGAAAACCCUUUCCAUAUAUAUGCAAAGCAAAUAUGUACUGAUAAUUAACCCUAAAUUUGCCUGAAGAACAAUUCUUUAUUGGGAAGGAGAGGCCAGACUGACCUACUUAGUGAGUUCCAGGACAACCAGGGUUGUGCAGUGAGACCCUGCGGCAACAAACAAACAAAAAUCAGUUCUUGGGUAUACAUGCAAUUUCUCCACUUACUAAAGAUGAAAGCAAACUGGCUUAUGACUGAGAAGACGUGCCUCUUUGUUUUCACGGGAAGAAUUAAAUCUUGGCUGAAUAACUGAUACUUCGGGGCAUAGGGUAUCUCCAGCAUUUUUUAGGGGAGAACACUGCUUCAUUUCAAUUGUAUAGUGCAAAUUGGCAUAAGUAAGCCCCUAAUGAAAUGCUUCCUUUGAUAACUCUCCUUGAUCAUGGCCUUUCUUCCUGGCAAUAGAAUAGUGUCUCCACCAGCAGAGGAAGACCUACAGCACAUGCUCAUGCGGGCUAGCCUGGGCACUCAGGGCAGGGCGAUUUUGGUUUGGGUAAGCUGGCCACAGUU
rnacentral:lncRNA from 1 species